rnacentral:lncRNA from 1 species
ACAAAUUGAGACCAGUUCUGUCCAGUAGGUUGCUUAGCUCCAAUCCAUUGCAAUGUAUGAUAUCUUAGCUGGGAUGCAAAGGUGCAGUCCAGGAACAGGUGUUCUCUGGUUUCCACAGUUUGUUGACACAUAACACAAGUGUCUUCCACAUUCAGGCUCCAUUUAAUCAACCUAUCUUUGGUAGGUAGUCUGUCUUGUAAUAGCAGCCACAGG